AUACGGAGGGUGCAAGCGUUAUUCGGAAUCACUGGGCGUAAAGGACGCGUAGGCGGGUUGGCAAGUCAGAUGUGAAAUCCUACAGCUUAACUGUAGAACUGCAUUUGAAACUGCUAACCUAGAGUAUGGGAGGGGGAGAUGGAAUUAGUGGUGUAGGGGUAAAAUCCGUAGAUAUCACUAGGAAUACCGAAAGCGAAGGCGAUCUCCUGGAACAUAACUGACGCUAAGGCGUGAAAGCGUGGGGAGCAAACAGGAUUAGAAACCCCGGUAGUCC
rnacentral:rRNA from 1 species